rnacentral:rRNA from 1 species
AACGCGAAGAACCUUACCAAGGCUUGACAUGGAUUUCUAAGCACGUGAAAGCGUGUGACCCUUCGGGGAACUUCCACAGGUGCUGCAUGGCCGUCGUCAGCUCGUGUCGUGAGAUGUUGGGUUAAGUCCCGCAACGAGCGCAACCCUUGUGACUAGUUGCCAGCGCGUAAUGGUGGGAACUCUAGUCAGACUGCCCAGAUCAACUGGGAGGAAGGUGGGGACGACGUCAGGUCAGUAUGGCCCUUACGCCUUGGGCUGCACACGUACUACAAUGCCCAGCACAAUGAGAACCGAUGCCGCGAGGUGGAGGAAAUCUGUAAAACUGGGCUCAGUUCGGAUUGGAGGCUGCAACUCGCCUCCAUGAAGUUGGAAUCGCUAGUAAUGGGGCAUCAUCCACGGCCCCGGAAUACGUUCCCGGGUCUUUCACCCAA